rnacentral:rRNA from 1 species
GUAGGGAAUAUUGGGCAAUGGAUGCAAGUCUGACCCAGCCAUCCCGCGUGCCGGAAGAAGGCCCUCAGGGUUGUAAACGGCUUUUGACGGUGAAGAACCGACAGGAUGCGUCCUGUUUUGACGGUAGCCGUUGAAUAAGCACCGGCUAACUCCGUGCCAGCAGCCGCAGUAAUACGGAGGGUGCGAGCGUUGUCCGGAUUUAUUGGGUUUAAAGGGUGCGUAGGCUGGAAGGUCAGUCAGCGGUGAAAAGCUAUCGCUUAACGAUAGUCUUGCCGCAGAUACUUCCUUUCUUGGAUGAGGAGGAGGCCACUGGAACGGAUGGUGUAGCGGUGAAAUGCAUAGAUAUCAUCCAGAACACCGAUUGCGAAGGCAGGUGGCUGUACCUUAAUCGACGCUGAUGCACGAAAGCAUGGGGAGCAAACAGGAUUAGAAACCCCAGUAGUCC